GGGGGCGACCUGGUCUCGACGCGGGUAGCGAAUCAGCACGGGGCAUGCCGAGGACCAGUUACCUCGUAAAUCCAUCUGGAAACACUACAAACGCCAACGACGAGCGUUUCGCUCUCGCCGCCUAAACCCGGUGAGACGCUGCACUAGCUGGCCCCUGGGCUAGGUCGGGCCCAGCCGAGGCGCAAGCCGAGGCUGCCAAACCCGACAGCAGCGACAUUCACAGAGGCUGGAUGCCGGUGGAGUCACGACGCCGAACAUCGAGAUCCAGUGACUGGCCGUGCGCCGGCCUGCCGACUGGCUAAUCGCACGGCGAGACUGAAAUAGGUCGGCUACGCAUGUAGAACCGUCUGAGGAACACUCGUGGACGCGGGUUCGAUUCCCGCCGCCUCCACCA
rnacentral:tmRNA from 1 species